CCGCUUCCUUUACGGCCCAGCCCUGAAGCGACCUUUGUUUCCGGAUACUGCCGCGGAACCCUUGAAAAUCAUAAAGAUCAAAGGAAGAUUUUCAUGUGGCCAAGUGUCCAGUGCAUUUGUGCAAACAGGUGGCUCGGCAGAGCACUGUCCCAGGGACUCAACGUGCCAGUGACCCAGGCUUGGGAUGGCUGUAGGCCACCUCUGGGAGAAAGUGGUCAGCAGUAGUGUCACGCUGCUUAGAUCUGAUGUUAGACUGCCAACCACACCAUGUCUUCCUCUGGUUUCAGAAGGGUGUGGACCCGUCCGAAUUCUCACGGCAGUACCAAGUAGACUGCCACCAUCAUCCUCUCUGGACGCACCUGGUCCACCUCUGUGGUACCCGAUUGCAGAUGUCAGCUUGGACAGUGUUUCCAGAUGAGAUUCAUACUUAAUUCAGUGAACACCGAGUAAGGCAGAUUGCCGCUGUGAUGUGGGUGGGCUUCAUUCCAUCACCUGGAUAGAGCAAAAAGACUGGCCUCCCCAAGCCAGAGAAACUCCGGCAGAUGACCUUCCACCUGGGCCUGUACAGUCACCGCUGGCUAUCCCGGGCCUCUGGCCUGCUGCUCCACGCUGCACAUUUGGACUUUGCAGCCUCCAAAGUUGUGUGGGCCAAUUCCUCAUAAUAAAUGUCUUUUCUCUCUCUCUCUCUGUCUAUAUACAUAUCUUAUUGAUUCUGUCUCUCUAGACAACUCUAAUGCAAUCUCCUAGCCAAACCCAGUAGGGGAGAGACAACAAGUAGUAAGAAAAAUAGCAGUGAUGUGAUUGGACAGCUUGUCCUUAGGGAAAAUUCUACCCAAAGACCCAGGAGCCCCAGACAAAGCUGUACAUUUCAACUUCUAGGAGCUUAUCCCAGUGCCACCCUCUAGCCCUCGUCAGACACGGAACCCAGCCGCAAGAGCAACGCUGCCGACUCAUUGCAACCAGCUGCUACUGACAGCAACGACUUUUUUACUCAAUUUCUGCAGACUCCUCAAGAGAAAGAAUAAAAGUGUCCUGACUCUCUUCAGGGAGAGGAUUCGCAA